rnacentral:miRNA from 1 species
AACCCGAUUGUGUUACAGCCUU